rnacentral:rRNA from 1 species
UGGGGAAUAUUGCACAAUGGAGGGAACUCUGAUGCAGCGACGCCGCGUGAACGAAGAAGGCUGUCGAGUCGUAAAGUUCUUUUAUAUGGGAAGAUAAUGACGGUACCAUAAGAAAAAGUCACGGCCAACUACGUGCCAGCAGCCGCGGUAAUACGUAGGGGGCUAGCGUUGUCUGGAAUCACUGGGCGUAAAGGGUUCGCAGGCGGAAAUGUAAGUCAGAUGUAAAAGGCAGUAGCUUAACUACUGUAAGCAUUUGAAACUGCAUAUCUUGAGAAGAGUAGAGGUAAGUGGAAUUUUUAGUGUAGCGGUGAAUUGCGUAGUUAUUAAAAAGAAUACCGGUGGCAAAGGAGACUUACUGGGCUCUUUCUGACGCUGAGGAACGAAAGCGUGGGUAGCAAACAGG